rnacentral:rRNA from 1 species
GACGAACGCUGGCGGCGUGCUUAACACAUGCAAGUCGAACGAAGUGGCGAACGGGUGAGUAACGCGUAAUCAACCUGCCCUUCAGGGGGGGACAACAGUUGGAAACGACUGCUAAUACCGCAUACUGAAGGAGGUGAUUGCGUGGGAUUAGCUAGUUGGGGGGGUAACGGCCCACCAAGGUGAAGAUCAGUAGCCGGUCUGGGAGGAUGGACGGCCAAAGUGGGAAUGGGACACGGCCCAGACUCCUACGGGAGGGCGCAGGGGGGAAAUGUCCGAAAUGGAGGAAAGGCUGACGGAGCAACGCCGCGGGAGGGAUGAAGGGCUUCGGGUUGUAAAGCUCUGUUAAGCGGGACGCGGUACCGGAAUAGAAAGCCACGGCUAACUACGUGCCAGCAGCCGCGGUAAUAC